rnacentral:lncRNA from 1 species
GCUCGCUGUAAAUCUUUUAUCUUUAUACAACUAUAACUUUCACCUGGGAUGGUCAUAACAUCAAAAUUGCGCAGAGCUGGGAUGUUCAUGAGAAGAUCACUUCUUUGCCGAGUAGCCAUGAUCUACAUAAUGUAAAAACUGGUUAUUUUAUAUAUAAAAGUUUCACUAAUACUCUGUACCUCUCAUUUAUACUUCAAUCUUAAAUUAGCAUUAAAUGUAAAGGCAAGAAAAGGGGCUUGAGCAAGAUAGACACAAUAAGGUCUCGUUUGGAAAAACAGAUUAAUUAAGCGCUUAUGGUCAUAAGCGCUUAUGGUCAUAAGCGCUUAUGACAUAAGCGCUUAUUCAUAAGCUAUUUUUAAAAAAUUAUUGAAAUAAAUUAAAACUAAGUUGUAUAUAAGCAUAAGCUGUUUUUCAUAAGCUAUCCUGAGUAGCUUAUGAAAAUAAGCUGAAAAUAGCUUAUGGCAGACCAUAAGCUGUUUGCAUAAGCCCUCCCAAACACUGGCAUAAGAGCUUAUGCUGUCAGAUAAGCUCAAAUAAGCUCUUCCAAACUGGGUCUAAAUCUACCUACCUCCACACUUGUUCUAUCCUUUGCUAUAUGUUGUGAUGGAACAAAUUCAAUAAUGUAAUCACUCACAUAUAAGAGCUAGUCAAAUUCUUUACUCUACUUGUUCUUCCUUUCUAGAGUCAUUGUCUCCAACUUUGAAAUUCUCUAAACACACGUUACAUUGCAUCAAGAACAUACAUAGUAUUGAAUGUACAUUUCAUUGAGAGAACAUAUUUCAGAUAGUCACUCAUUGAAAAUAUAUAUCAAAAAAUGAAUUAAGGUGGCUACACAAUUAUAAUAUUCUACAAAUCAAACCACAUGUAGAAUAAACAACGUUUUGCUUAUAGAAAAGAGGAAACAUUUUCAAUCCCUUCUAAUCUACCAAGAGCAAUAGAUAGUCAAUUGGCUCGCAUAGAUUGGAAAAAAUGUAUAUAUCAGCUAGAUUUGGUAUGUCGUUAAAUAAAGCCAGUGGAAAAGAAAGCAUUUUUACAGAUGUUUCAAUAAGCGACAGACUUGUAAUCCUUACUUUCAAUUUCUAAGUCUCUUUGGAGUCAUUCACUUGUACAAUUGAGUUAACUCUUCGUGGCAUAUCUGAUUAAUACAGAUCACAAGAUCAAAAGAAGAAGAAAAAAAGGUCAAAAUGUGCAUAAAUCAAGCGUCGAAGAAGAAAUAAUGAGCCACAACCUAAGAAUCAAAUCAAGUGGUGUUAAAGGGACUGCUUGGACCAUUUAG